CUAAGAGAGAACCGUGACUGUGUUCCAUCACAUCUGAGAGGAAACCGUGACUGUGCUUUUCUCCUGCCUCUGGUGUCAACAUGAAGUCAAUGGUUGUGGUGCUGUUUUUGCUGUCCUGUGGUGUUUGCGCACUGAGGGCCGCUGAUGACAAACAGUCUCAGAAGCUGGUGCAGAAUCCAAACCCAGUGAUAAUAAAGAAUCCAAAAGAUACGGAGAAGCCAUCUCACCCCAUAGUGCACAAACCAAAAGAUACGGAGAAGCCAUCUCACCCCAUAGUGCACAAACCAAAAGAUACGGAGAAGCCAUCUCACCCCAUAGUGCACAAACCAAAAGAUACGGAGAAGCCUUUUCACCCCAUAGUGCACAAACCAAAGGCUACGAGGAAGCCUUUUCACCCCAUAGUGCACAAACCAAAGGCUACGAGGAAGCCUUUUCACUGCAUAGUGCACAAACAAAAGGCUACAAGGAAGCCUUUUCACCCCAUAGUGCACAAACCAAAGGCUAAUUGGAAGCCUUUUCACCCCAUAGUGCACAAACCAAAGGCUACAGUGAAGCCUUUGAAACCCAUAGAGCACAAACCAAAGGCUACAGUGAAGCCUUUGAAACCCAUAGAGCAGAAGACCACCAAGAAAAUUAAGUAAUGUCUGAAGACCAACAAUAAUGGCAGGAUUUCAGCUACCUAGAGAGAGAAGCAAAUGGAUAUUGGCCUUUCAGCUGUCAUUUAAAAUGUUGUGUGAAGUACAUUGCCUUUCACAUUGUACACUGUUCUGUUUUAACCAAUCAUAUAGCGAUAUUCUAGCCAUGGGAGGAAAUUCUAAAGACCAUACAGCUUAUUAUUAUUAAAGAGUAUGAUUGCAUUCUGGGGACUUUCCCAUACGCAUUUACAUGUAUUUGUAUGACUAAUAAAGAAC